rnacentral:tRNA from 1 species
GUCCAGGGAUGGAAAUCGAACCCACAGUGUUCCCCUACCGGGCAGAAGCCAUGUCCUCUAGGCUACCCUGGA